rnacentral:rRNA from 1 species
GACGAACGCUGGCGGCGUGCUUAACACAUGCAAGUCGAACGGAAAGGCCCUGCUUUUGUGGGGUGCUCGAGUGGCGAACGGGUGAGUAACACGUGAGUAACCUGCCCUUGACUUUGGGAUAACUUCAGGAAACUGGGGCUAAUACCGGAUAGGAGCUCCUGCUGCACGGUGGGGGUUGGAAAGUUUCGGCGGUUGGGGCUGGACUCGCGGCUUAUCAGCUUGUUGGUGGGGUAGUGGCUUACCAAGGCUUUGACGGGUAGCCGGCCUGAGAGGGUGGCCGGCGACAUUGGGACUGAGAUACGGCCCAGACUCCUACGGGAGGCAGCAGUGGGGAAUAUUGCACAAUGGGCGGAAGCCUGAUGCAGCAACGCCGCGUGCGGGAUGACGGCCUUCGGGUUGUAAACCGCUUUCGCCUGUGACGAAGCGUGAGUGACGGUAAUGGGUAAAGAAGCACCGGCUAACUACGUG